AGCGAACGCUGGCGGCAGGCCUAACACAUGCAAGUCGAACGGACCUUUCGGGGUUAGUGGCGGACGGGUGAGUAACACGUGGGAACGUGCCUUUAGGUUCGGAAUAGCUCCUGGAAACGGGUGGUAAUGCCGAAUGUGCCCUUAGGGGGAAAGAUUUAUCGCCUUUAGAGCGGCCCGCGUCUGAUUAGCUAGUUGGUGAGGUAAUGGCUCACCUAGGCUACGAUCAGUAGCUGGUCUGAGAGGAUGACCAGCCACAUUGGGACUGAGACACGGCCCAAACUCCUACGGGAGGCAGCAGUGGGGAAUCUUGCGCAAUGGGCGAAAGCCUGACGCAGCCAUGCCGCGUGGAUGAUGAAGGUCUUAGGAUUGUAAAAUCCAUUCACCGGUGAAGAUAAUGACUGUAGCCGGAGAAGAAGCCCCGGCUAACUUCGUGCCAGCCGCCGCGGUAA
rnacentral:rRNA from 1 species